CACUUACUCCCUCCGUUUCAAAUUACUUGUCUCGAAAAUGAAUGUAUUUAGAACUAAAAUACAUCUAGAUAUAUUCAUUUUCGCGACAAGUAAUUCCGAACGUAGGGAGUAGCUG
rnacentral:pre_miRNA from 1 species